UCACAGUGUAAAAUAGAGGAACAGAAAGAGAGCAACAAGACAUUUAAUGUAUAAAGGAUACAGGUCAAUGGUUUUUAAUGUGUGAUGAGCUAAGAAUCUACUCCGACGUGCAGCAAACUAUAUUAAUCCCAUAAAGGAAAUCAAAUUACCUGCAGUGUUUUGGCCACCUCCUAAGGAUUGCAUGAAAUGCACCAGCUUCACGGGUGAGCAUUUUAUGGCGAGUAUUUUCAUCUCCAGGAAGCAUUGUACGGGUUAUAGUGAAAGGGAGAUCAUAGUAACAGUCUAUUUUAUACACAUCUCCCCAGAAAGGCUCCUUCUCAUUAAGGCAGCCAUGUCUCCCAGCUCCACUCACAAGAUUGUCAGCUUAAGCAGCAGUUCCAUUUGUUUAUCUGAUGAAGGGGACUCCUGCAAAGAGCUGACCUACAUCAGUAUUGGCAGAACUACUUCCUGAGUUGAUGAAAACGCACUCAUGAAAUAAAACAUUUGUUAAAAGAUUUACAGAAAAUGUAUCCUUUUUUUUAGUUUAAGAUAUUGUGCAUGGUUUAAUGCAUCCUAUAGAAUGUUAGUAAUUGUCUUUAGUCUCCCUUUAAGAUAAGUUAACGCUUUAUUCGAAUCAAUGCAUCUCUAUGAGGAAUGUUCAGUGUUUGCAUGCAGAGGGUGGAGACACUGAAUGGCAGUCACUGUGCAGCACUGCCCCAGGAAGCACCUCUAGUAGCCAUCUGAGGAGUGGCCAGUGGAGGUAUUCCUAGGCUGUAAUGUAAACACUGCAUUUUCUCUGAACCAAACAGUGUUUACAGCAAAAAAGCCUGAAGGUAAUGAUUCUACUCACCAGAACAAAUUCAAUAAGCUGUAGUUGUUCUGGUAACUGUGGUGUGUCCCUUUUACUCAAAAUUCUAGCAAACUCAAAAUCUAAAGUAGUGGAAAAUUAAGGCAAAAAUAACUGAUCUGAAUGUAGCAGUCUGUCUGUUUAAUAUUGUAAUGGCUUCUAGGAGGACGGAUUCAAAAUGUGCGGGUUUCACAGUAACAUGCUCAUUCAUGAAUUAACUUUGUAUCACCAUGCCUUGCCAAAAAAUAAGCAAAUUAAAAACUCCUGGAAAUGAAAGAGUUUAAAAAAAUAAAUAAAAAUAAAGUAUUAUGAAAAGUCACAAAUAACUUGGCAUCCUGUUUUUACAAAAAAAAAAAGUUUUGAUUCUCCCCUAGUGUUACGGAAUGUUUUAAUCACAGCUUGGUAUACUGCGUUCCUUCUUGACACGUUUCUUGCUUGCUCUACAGUUUCUUGAUGAUUAGGGCAUUAAAUAAAAACAGAAUUUAAUAUUUUUACAAAAAUGUCUCUUAAAAUGUUACAAUUCUAAUGUGUAGGUCACAAUAUUCACUGUUCUGGCGAUUGCUUUCCUGCAGAUUCUGUGAAAAACUGCCUUACACCUUCAGGAUUAUUCAACGGGAAUUUCUAAUUCGAGUUCACAAUAAACAAAUUGGAAAAAUUCUCUAAGUCUGUUUUCAGUUCAGCUAUUUGGGGCCUAAGAUUCAGAUUUCAAAGUGAAUUUCUAGAAAAUCCCACUUGAGUCGGUUAGCUACAGAUAAGGUAGAUCCACAGCCCUCGCGGACUACAAGUCCCAUGAUGCUCUUGUAGUGUUAAGUGUUGUAAGAGGAUCUUGGGAAUUGAAGCUCUCAAAUAGGUAAGGCGCAAUCUUUUGCGCACUCUUGGUUAUCCCCAAUAGUGUUUUUGAAACAAUGCAGAAACGAAAUGUCAUGGUCAGUGGUGAUAGUUGAGGCUAAAGCAGGGGUGGCCAAAAAAAAAAAAAAAGAUUCCUUGCUAUAGUUGAACGCGAUUAGGCAGUCUUUGCUCUCAACACUGCUAAAGGCACAAAACUAAAUUUGCG
rnacentral:lncRNA from 1 species